rnacentral:misc_RNA from 1 species
CGCACGCUCUUCGGUAGCACAACACAGAUCCUUGCGAAGCACAACUACAAGCUUUCGCCGCGUUUGCCUCCGCGUGCUUCUGCGUUCUGCGCGGUGGCUGCCUGUGCGCGGUGUUGGUGUCGUUGGCGUUGAGCGUAUGAGGCCUCUGUUGCGUUGAGUGCUCUCUUUACGCGCCCACGGGUUCUCUGCGAGUGUGCUCUCAUGUUUUCCUACCAACGCAUCCCUAGUCCUGCGAACAAGAUGAAUCAUAUGCGGCAGUUCGGCUUGCCUCGCAGCAGCGCUGCCAUUACCGUCAUGGCUGCAUCAACGGCUGCGCUUGUCGUUCCAUGUCGUGCCAUGCACGGCAAGCCGGCAUCGGGACACAAGGUACGCACGCAGCACAGCCGUCGCUGGUGGAUGCAGUCCAAGGCGCACCACCUCACCGCCGUCCCGCAUGAAGAGGCUAGAUCACGCCCGCACUUCCCCGCCUACACCGAGGACGUCGACCAGCCAAUGGUCGUGCCCGACGGUGCGUGCUGCUUCAACUGCGAUAAGCCGAUCGAUGGGGACGACAUCAACAGCUACGUGUGGGUCCCGUCUGGCAAUGCAAGGGUGCCGACGGCGCAGGGGUACUUUUUCCACGUGAAGUGCUUCAAGUGCUGGAACUGCAAGUACCGCAUCAUACACAACCAGUUCUACUCGAAGGACAGACGCGCGUGGUGUCUAUCGUGCGCGCUCGGACGCGACAUCCGGGUGCCGACGCGGCGCUGGCACACUUCGUACGUCAAUACGCACCGCACGGGCUCUCGCCUGACAGGGCAAUUCUUCCCUCGCCACCGCCAUCAGAUGGAGUUCCUCUUUAGCCCAAAAGAGUAGAGCGAUGCGAAGGUGUGCCGCAGUAGCGUGGGUGGUGGGGUGCGAUGGCGUGUGUGUGUGUCUGGGGGGGAGAGGGGAGGGACACGCCAUUCACCUGCGAACACACGCACGCGCCUGUCGCAAACCAGGUAGUACUUAUGAGAGAGGCGCGGUGUGCAUGCGUCACGAGCCUCUGCCGCUCUGGUUCCCCCCUCCCCAUACCUCCACGCCACCACGAGGUGCGAAAGCAGUGAGUGUUGUUGUUGAGGGCUUCACACCCUCAUUGACUUUCAUGUGCGCACAGAAACGCGCACAGAUGAGUGCUCUCUUGCCUUGCUUGGCUUCCUUCGCCCUCCUCCCUCGCUGAUUGCCGCCGCGCUGUACUCGUACGCGCUUUUUGGGCGGCUUGCCGCACCGGCGUGUCUGUUGCGCGAGGGGUUGGGAGAACCUCGCCGGCGGCUAACGGACUCGGAU